GCUACGUUGUUUUAUUCGUUUUGUUUACAUCCGAGCUACACAUUGACAUUCAACUUCCAUAUACAUAUUUUAUUUAUUUUUGGCAGACAACGUGCGUUUAAAUGUUACGUUCUAUGUUGCGCAUUUAGCGUUGUCCCAAGUGUUGCGUAUUUUGAGUUUGCAUUUGCUCACGUCUUUAAUGACAGUUUAAUAUACAUAAUUAUGAAAUCAGCUGGAAACAACACAUUGCGGUUUCAUCGUGAACUACGUCACGCACUUUAUGUAGAACUAAAUUACAUUUCUAGUGCCCUUGUGCCAAGGAUUUGAUUAUGUGCGUGAGUCACUGCAACAAUGCAUGUUUUUGAUUCACACUCUCUAUUCCGAGCAAAACAAACACGAAAAAAUACCGUUACAUUAUAAGUAGUUGCGAGAGGGUGUGUGUGCUUUUGGGUGGGGUACAUGUGUGUAUACAUACACAUACACGCAAACAUGUCCAUGCAUUGCGAAGCUCUGUAGAAUUCCUUUGCCUGAGCAGCACAUAUCUUUGUGUGUGUGAGUGUGCCGCCGCUCUUGCAAACACAGUUGGCGAGCCUAGAGUCAAUGAUGGAACAUACAAGGAAAUUGCAAAAACUCAUUUGCCAAUAAAUAAAUAAACCGGGAAAACUGCAAACCAAAUCAGUUUAAAUUGAUUGUAACAAAUACAUAGUGCUCGUUCGUGGGGCAACAGGCUACGUGUUGAGGUGGACGUGAUACAUGGCUGCACAAAACGGCUGAAGUGCCUGUCCUCCUCGUCACAUCUCUGACAACAACAAGUGAUAAAUAAACGCUGUCCAACUUGCAACUGUAAAUAACAUGUGUAUGAAUGAGUGUACAGCCGCAUUACGGCAAAACGGAAAACGCCCAGGGCGAUAGUCAUAAAGUGUUGCAUAUGACGAAAAAGGCUCCACCGUAGGAAAAGCAACAACAACAACGACAAUAGCAGCAGCAACAGACAGUGUUGCCAAGUGUCGCAAAGUGUAACAAUAAGUCGAAUAAAAACGUAACGUCCUUGGUAACGGCAAACGUCAAAACUGGAGCAGGCAUAAAAAGAACAAUAGGAAGAGACAAAAAGGACGGCAAAGACGCGCACGGCGCAUACAGCGUGAAAAAGCAAGGUGUGCUAAAAAAUAUGGUGCUUGCAGGUGACAAUGGUCACAGACGCAAUUGACAGUUGAAUGGGUUAGAUACCCAACGCCGAGAGCGCUACUGAGACAGGGCGAAGAUAGAGAGAGAGAAAGAGCUUGAAUACAACAGAAAGAGAGUGUGAAGACGCGCGCGUGAGAGCCAGCCGUUGAGAGUGCGAGAACGGAGCAGUGCAGCAGCAGCACCAACAUCGCCCACAACAG